CAAACACUCCCACGGGUCAGUGAAGAUCUCCUCUUUCUCUUUCUCUCUGUCGUACUUAUGAAAUGAACCUCAUAUGUCCUAGUAGUCCGUGUGUGCUGCAAUAUGAAAGGCUGACACUUCACCCAGUGUGCUAUUUUCCAUCCUGCCAGCCAGGCACAGAAAUAGGCAGAAAAAAAUGCUGAAGAAAUGGCAGUGGUGCUGUUCUUUCAUCGCCUGUAAAAUGCAAACCUUUCCUGCUUUCCGUGAGGAAUAGUGGGUGAAGUAUAGGUACUUCUGUAAUUCAUCGUUUCACAUUCUGUAAUGUAAGCAUGGAAAUCAGUAGCUCCAGUGACCAGAAGGAGGGAGAGCCCUAGGGUCUGCUU
rnacentral:lncRNA from 1 species